UACGGGGGGCAAGCGUUGUUCGGAAUUACUGGGCGUAAAGAGCUUGUAGGCGGUUUGUCGCGUCUGCCGUGAAAAUCCGAGGCUCAACCUCGGACUUGCGGUGGGUACGGGCAGACUAGAGUGUGGUAGGGGAGACUGGAAUUCCUGGUGUAGCGGUGAAAUGCGCAGAUAUCAGGAGGAACACCGAUGGCGAAGGCAGGUCUCUGGGCCACUACUGACGCUGAGAAGCGAAAGCAUGGGGGAGCGAAACAGG
rnacentral:rRNA from 1 species